CAUGAUCUCGGUCUUAGCACGAAUGAAAGUUUGAACGAGGAAAGAAGAAUUUUUUCCUAUAAUUGGGCUUCGAUGGUAAAGAAAUUAUCCAUGAUUAAAUCCAUAAUAAGUGGUACCAGCCCCCAAACCUUCUCUGAAAACAAAAAAAGGGCAUUUAACUUGACUGUAAUUGGAUUACAAAAUUGUCCUGAUCACCAAGCGCGCUAUCCUAAAAUAUGUCACCUGGUUUGUUUGAGGUUCAAUUUCGUAGACGUAACUAAUGCGUUCACAUUCCG
rnacentral:lncRNA from 1 species